GAAAUGCGAUAAGUAAUGUGAAUUGCAGAAUUCAGUGAAUCAUCGAAUCUUUGAACGCAGCUUGCGCUCCUCGGUAUUCCUUGGAGCAUGCCUGUUUGAGUAUCAUGAAAUCUUCAAAGUAAAUCUUUUGUUAACUCAAUUGGUUUCUACUUUGGUAUUGGAGGUCUUUGCAGCUUCACACCUGCUCCUCUUUGUUCAUUAGCUGGAUCUCAGUGUUAUGCUUGGUUCCACUCGGCGUGAUAAGUUAUCUAUCGCUGAGGACACUGUAAAAGGUGGCCAAGGUAAAUGCAGAUGAACCGCUUCUAAUAGUCCAUUGACUUGGACAAUACUUUUAUGAUCUGAUCUCAAAUCAGGUAGGACUACCCGCUGAACUUAAGC
rnacentral:misc_RNA from 1 species